UUAAGCUGGAAUACUUGAUUUAGUACUUGGUUAGCAUAGUUUUUAACUGUCUUUUCUGGCAAUUAUUAAUGAAGUCUUUUGAUUUGGUAGUUUGUUUGUUUAUCCUAGUGAGAGAAGGAGAUAAUUCUAUCAAACAUCGGGUGAGUUAGGCUAGAUGUCUCUAUAGGGUUGUUAGCAGUCUGCUCUAGAUGUUUACCAUGGUUAUUUAUUUAAUAUGGUGUCCUGUGUUCCAUACUUUGAUACUGAUGG
rnacentral:misc_RNA from 1 species